CUGAGGCCACCCCGCUCUCGGUCGUGAAAGCCCCGCAAACACCGCCGGCCUCCUCGCAAUACACCAGAUCCCCCCCCCCCUCAGCUCUGCCCCCCCCCCCCCAGCAAAAUGCGUUACAAUGUAGGGACCUGGGAGAGGGUGUUGGGGGGAGGUUUUCAUAACGCAGGAGGAGGGGGGGGGGGGAAACCCUAAUUAAAAAAGCAGGAGGAGGAGGCAGACAAAAUCUCAGGCAGUCCGUAGGGAGGCGAGACACAGAACCGUUUAACGUUAUUUUUUGCAUCUGCUUGAGCAAGUUUCUCCUGUAAAAAGAUCCCGGGAUCCUGCUGCCUUGGACGCUUUUUGAAAAAUAAUCCGUCUUUUUUUUUUUUUUUUAAUGUUCCAGCCACCUCUUUUUGGCUCUCACGAUCGUGCAAGGGAUUUACUUUUGACGAAAGAAGCUUCUUCUCCCCCUUCCCCCGCAAACAGAUCUGUGUUUUAAUUAUGGUUUUGGCAUUGCUUUUUUCAUGUGAGGAAUAUCCUUGUUCUUGAAAAGAAAUAGACUCGGAGGGUUAUGUUUUCGUUUGGUCCUUUUCUCCCCCCCCCCCCCUUCCCUUUCCAGGACUCUUCGCAGUUGUUGUCAUUGUUGCUGAUUCGUGCAAAAUAGAUUGUAAACAGUGUGUCAAUAGAUAGCUUCCUCUGGGUGGAGGGAAAUGUCAAGCUACGGUAGUGUGGAAUUUUUUUUAUUACUUUUGGUUUUUUAAAGCAGCUGUAGACUGUUUCGGGAGGGAACUGUAAAGGCCUGCCCUGCCUUUGUCAUUGGAGGAGACUUCAACCAGCAGUGAAAAUAUUUAAGGCCAUAGGAUAUAUUGAUCAAGGAUGGUAGAUGGCCCUGAAUACGGAAUUAGUCAGUCCUACGGGGAUACAGAAUAUGUUUUUAUAUGCAAGUAUUUCAUGUUCUCAGGUAAGCAACACAUUUAAAGGGGUGGGCCUGAUCUUUUGAUAAAUAUAUAUAUUUUUAAAUAAAUCUCAAUUUAAAAUUAUUUUCAUUUUUUUUAAAAUUAGCCCCUUCAGGAAAUAAAUCCUACUUACCCAAAUACUGUAUAGACAGAACCACCAGGUCUUCAAAAAAAAGUGCCAGAGACAGAAACGUGACCCUUAAGAAAGGACACUCCGUCUUUGACACUUUUCCUAUGGCAGUUACAGUCGGAUUGUCAGCUGAGCUGUGGAAAUCCAGCCCUUUUUAUCAGCUUUGUGUCAUAACAUAAACAUUAUUUAAAGGCAGUUUAGUUUAUGUAAUUUUAUAAAAUAAGGGUGGAUUGCACACUGCAUAGAGCAGUGUAUUCCCUGAUUCAAUUGCAUUAUCUUGUUUUCUAAUCUAACCUACUUUUCUGUCCGAGGUUGGUGCUUUGCAGGAGCCUGUCUUCAGUGCAAUCUGUGAGCCCUUUUGUGGGUGUCUGAUUUCUGUAACAUGUUUUGGUUUCCAGUAUGAAUGUAACAUUCAAAGAAUAUCAUGACACUACUCUAGGUGUAUGCGAUCUUAUCUACCUGACAUUUAGUUUUUUAACCGUCCAUUCCCUUGAUUUGCAUAAAAUCACACAGUCAUAAUUUUUUGGCAUCAUCAUAACAAACUACUCGAGAUUACCAGCUUGCUUUUGCUUGCUGCCCGUCAGCACAAAUGCAUGUUUUCCCCUUUUCUUUGCAUCUGGAGCUUUCUGGAUUUAUUAACAUAGCACUUUCAAAAGGAUGGACACUUCUGCCACUAUAUCUGUGACAACAGCAAAGCUCUUUAAUAAAUGUCAUGGUUUAAGUUCAAAACCAAACAGCCCAACGCACCAGGUUCUUGCAUCUCAUUCUGUUUUAGUUUAUUGUUUUAAAUAUAGAUCUCUUUGUUUUUAUUUACAGGGAAAACCCACAGAAUACUCUGCCUGAUCCCAAAAGACUUGCCCUGCGACUGCUGUGUUCAUUACAAAACAAUCCUGCAAUUAAAAUAAACUCCAGGAGCUAAACAAA